CAGCAGUGGCAGUAGCAGUGGCAGUAGCAGUGGCCAUUGCACCCAGCCCCGAUGUGAAUGUGAAGAUUUCUCCGCUUUUACUUUUCCCCGACUGACCGUUUGAAAAGCGUUUUUAUUUCGGGACUCGUAAGUACCUUUAUUUGCUUCCAGCUCCCAGCACGGCAGCCGAGGCAGGAAAUCGCUGAGCAAGCACCCGGAUUAGUGGUCAACAAAUAUUUGAUCAGCGUCUUCAGUCUUCAGUCCCUUCCGCGAUUGGGCCUCGAAAAUAAAGAAAUAAUCGAACAGAAA